AUAUAUUUACGUUUUAUUAGGAUUUUAUCUUUGAUUAAUAUUAUAGAACGCAAUAUGUUUUCGAUAAAGUCAUUGAAAAAAACUCAAUUUUAACAGUGUAUAAUGUUAAAAACAUCUUUGUAUCCACUAGAGUCAAAAUAGUUUUUUCUAAAAUUAGAUAUGCACAGACUCAUCACGCGUGUGCCACUUGCACUAGAAGCAUUUUGGAUAGGAGGUGGUGAAGACAUGAGACACUCUUUCAUAUGCUCAUCCCUAGCAGUGGCUUCCACAAAGACUUGAAGACAAAGUUCACACCCUUUUUCAGCGAAAAUGGUUUUGCAUUUUUCUUUGAAUGGUCGAGAGGGAUGGUUCGGAACUGACAUUGUUCAAAAUAAUCAUCAAUCAAACACCAACCCAACAAAAAAACAGAGAACAAGAAGAUCAUAUAAGCUCAAGCCAUACCGUGAAGGUGUUCUCGAACAGAUUCGAAUGAUUUACAAUGUUUGAAGCAAACCCCACACUAAGGCUGAUGAAUCGAAUGGAACGCAAUCUUGAUGUGAAAAACAUAUUCUCUAUAAGAAUUGUACCUCUUGUAGCAAGCAACUCAUUUCUUGGUUUUGCUCCCGCCGGCUUCCAUGGCUUUCACACAACACAAACAUGAAAUUAUGGUUUAGACACAAAAAACAAAACUCGGAAUGAUAUGUUGGCUCAGUUGGUUUCUCUCUCUACUUAAGUGACUCAUGAGGUUUUGUCUUCGGUACAAUCCAUUUUUUGUAACAUUUUUCUUUUCUAUAUAACCACAAAUAUAUUUUCUUCUUCUUUUUUGUUCGCUCAUACGUCACAUAUACAUAUCAAUUGGAAAAUAUUAACUCCUUAUU
rnacentral:sRNA from 1 species